rnacentral:snRNA from 1 species
AUACCUUUCUCGGCCUUUUGGCUAAGAUCAAGUGUAGUAUCUGUUCUUAUCAGUUUAAUAUCUGAUAUGUGGAUCAUCGAUUCACACGAUAUUAAAUUUAUUUUUUUUGGGUGAAGAUCUGUUAACAAUGGCUUGCCGUUGGGAUUUUCUGUUGUCGUCAUAGUUUUGCACUAUUGCUUUGACUGACAAAACCCUC